UUUCUCCCUCUUCUCCCUUUUGAAAUGUUCAUCUAGCAAAUCAGUAACAGUGCUGCAACUCCAAGCUAUGAUAUACCACGUGUCUAGUGACCAUACUUCUCAUUAAUACAACUUAAUGAGAUGUCAAUGGGCAGGGAGCGGACACUCUAGCAGGAACACUGCCUGCCUGCUGCCCGCCCCCCCCCCAUUACACGUUUGCAGUGUGGUAGGGGGUGACAUGCUUCAUGCAGGGCCACAGCCGGCUGCCUAGCUCCACAGGGCCGGUAAGGCCUGGCACCACCAAUCAGCCUCCUUCUCACACUCCCUAAUGCUCCUCAGCCUCUCCGUUGCCCCGGCAAUGCCCACGCCACGUCAGCCGGUCUCGCGAGAGCUGGCGGGUCGCUCUGCUCUCCUGAGUUUCCCCAGGGGGAGCCAAGGGCUGUGACCCCUCUCUUGUGAAGAAAAGCUGCGUGAGCUGUGUAGAUUUCAGCAACCAUCUGUUAGCCUCGGUACCUCACUAAGGAUGUUUCCUGACAGAAGGGGAAAUGUUGUUGAUGCUACUGAUAAGCAAGAGCACACGCUGUCAGAUGUUCUUGGCAGCAGGUCCAAAAGGGCAACUGAAGACAUCAUACCUGCAGAUCUUGUUGUCAAGUGUAGGAAAUAAGUAAUGACAUUUCUUUUGAAGUGGUGAAAGCUGAAGCAUACUGGCAUGCCAGAAUGGAGGUUUGUAAUAUGAUGAAUGAAGUACACCUGCGCUGUGGACAGCUAGGACUCUGUUCUCUAGAUCCAGUCCUGUGCAUUCAGACCUUCUCUGUUCAGGCACAGUAAAGACCCCAACUCACCUGGAAGAGAUACCAUCUUCUUUGUGUGUUACACAGAAAAGUCAUUGCUGCACUUAUCCUCUGGUACAAUCACAAGCAUGUAUCAGUCCAUUUCCAGUGCUCCUUUCAUGUCCAUCUUUUGGAAUUGAUAGUAUCAUAGAAUCAUAGAAUGGUUUGGGUCAGAAAGGACCUUUAAGAACAUCUAGUUCCACCCCUCCUGCUAUGGGCAGGGACACCUCCCUCUAGACCAGGCUGCUAUAAGCCCUGUUCAGCCUCACCUUGAAGGCCUCCAUUCACUGCAGACCGAGAAAUGAGAAAAGCCAUCCAUGACUCUUAAUUUCAUUUUUUUAUUAACUUGCCAUUCCUAAGAUUUAUAGCUGCAUUUUUCUUGUCAUGGUUUUAUCAGUAUUCCAUAUCAUGACAUCACGGAGCAAGCUGUUUCGUGCUGGAACACAGUGCCAGAGACCUGCACUUCCUGGGUCCUACACUUCUAGCAGCCUCAGCUAUUCUCACAUGAAUUCCAUCUCUCCAAGAGGAAGAUACGCUGAAAAGAGACAGAUUACAGUUCUCAGAAGUCCUCAGUAUUCUCCCCAUUAUUUCUGACUCCAGGUGACAAGGGAGAGCUCUCUUCCCUUCAGGGAGUCCAGCAGCGAGUGCCUGCCAAUAAGGCCUUGGACUCUCUCUCUCUCUCCCUUCCUGUUUUUUGUUUGAUUUAUUGUUCCUAAUUUUUCUGUAGUAUCUCACAUUCCUUUUAAUAAAUA